rnacentral:rRNA from 1 species
UAGGGAAUCUUCCGCAAUGGACGCAAGUCUGACGGAGCAACGCCGCGUGAGUGAAGAAGGAUUUCGGUUCGUAAAACUCUGUUGUUAGAGAAGAACAGCGCAUAGAGUAACUGUUAUGCGUGUGACGGUAUCUAACCAGAAAGCCACGGCUAACUACGUGCCAGCAGCCGCGGUAAUACGUAGGUGGCAAGCGUUGUCCGGAUUUAUUGGGCGUAAAGCGAGCGCCGGCGGUCAAUUAAGUCUGAUGUGAAAGCCCCCGGCUCAACCGGGGAGGGUCAUUGGAAACUGGUUGACUUGAGUGCAGAAGAGGAGAGUGGAAUUCCAUGUGUAGCGGUGAAAUUCGUAGAUAUAUGGAGGAACACCAGUGGCGAAGGCGACUCUCUGGUCUGUAACUGACGCUGAGGUUCGAAAGCGUGGGUAGCAAACAGG